CUCGUAGGCGGUUCGUCGCGUCCGGUGUGAAAGUCCAUCGCUUAACGGUGGAUCUGCGCCGGGUACGGGCGGGCUGGAGUGCGGUAGGGGAGACUGGAAUUCUCGGUGUAACGGUGGAAUGUGUAGAUAUCGGGAAGAACACCAAUGGCGAAGGCAGGUCUCUGGGCCGUUACUGACGCUGAGGAGCGAAAGCGUGGGGAGCGAACA
rnacentral:rRNA from 1 species